GGGGAGCUGGCGCAACGGUAGCGCGUCAGAUUCCAGUGGAUGUCCUUUUCAAGGUCUGUUCGGGGAUUCCUGAAGGUUAUCGGUUCAAAUCCGGUGUUCCUCA